UUUUUUUUGAUCAAAAUAUUUCCCUCCUCCCAACUUAAACAUUGCAUUGUCCUCAAUGUAAAAAAAUGCAAGAAAACUAUAUAUGAGAGACAAUAGAGAAAAUAAUAGAGAGAAGAAGAAUACCUUGAGCUGUUGAUUUCCAGAAAAGAAGACCUACAAAAUAAGAAGAAAACUAGAAAUAAAAGAAAAAAUUUAAUUCUAACUAAUAUACACAUACCUUGGCCGUCAUGUUCAGUCAUAAGAAGGCUCCCCCAAGGGAAAGAAGUCCUCUUCAUCUACAAACUUCUCAAGAAAAGGUUUUAAUCUGUGUCCAUUUACCUUAAAAAUUUUGCCAUCCUGUGGAUUCUCAAUUUCAACUGCCCCGUGUGGAAAAACAGUUUUUACAAUGAAAGGACCUGUCCAUCUUGAUCGUAACUUUUCAGAAAACAGAUGUAAGCGAGAGUCAUAACAAAGAACUUUUUGUGCAGGUUCAAAAGAUUUUCUUAGAAUUGAUUUAUCAUGCCUAAUUUUCAUUCGUUCUUUGCAAAGUCUAGCAUU
rnacentral:lncRNA from 1 species